rnacentral:rRNA from 1 species
GUGGGGAAUAUUUCGCAAUGGACGAAAGUCUGACGGAGCAACGCCGCGUGAGUGAUGAAGGAUUUCGGUUCGUAAAGCUCUGUUGCAGGGGAAAAAGAAAGUGAUUGUACUCUGCGAGAAAGGGACGGCCAACUUCGUGCCAGCAGCCGCGGUAAUACGAAGGUCCCUAGCGUUGUUCGGAAUUAUUGGGCGUAAAGAGCUCGUAGGUGGUUUUGUAAGUCAGGUGUGAAAGCCCCGAGCUUAACUCGGGAAGUGCACUUGAAACUACUUAACUUGAGUACGGAAGAGGUGAGUGGAAUUCCUGGUGUAGUGGUGAAAUACGUAGAUAUCAGGAGGAACAUCGGUGGCGAAGGCGGCUCACUGGUCCAGUACUGACACUGAGGAGCGAAAGCAUGGGGAUCAAACAGGAUUAGAAACCCCGGUAGUCC